GGAAUAUUGGACAAUGGGGGCAACCCUGAUCCAGCAAUGCCGCGUGAGUGAAGAAGGUCUUCGGAUUGUAAAGCUCUUUCGGUGGGGACGAUGAUGACGGUACCCACAGAAGAAGCCCCGGCUAACUUCGUGCCAGCAGCCGCGGUAAUACGAAGGGGGCUAGCGUUGCUCGGAAUGACUGGGCGUAAAGGGCGCGUAGGCGGUUCGUACAGUCAGAUGUGAAAUUCCUGGGCUUAACCUGGGGGCUGCAUUUGAUACGUACGGGCUUGAGUGCGGAAGAGGGUCGUGGAAUUCCCAGUGUAGAGGUGAAAUUCGUAGAUAUUGGGAAGAACACCGGUGGCGAAGGCGGCGACCUGGUCCGUAACUGACGCUGAGGCGCGAAAGCGUGGGGAGCAAACA
rnacentral:rRNA from 1 species